GUGGCAAUAGAGGAUCGUUUCCAUACAGCUAUUCUCCAUCUGGCUGUUGGGUCUCUCCCAGUUAUUUGUUCUCUCUGCUCAGUUGUCGUUGGGCAUUUAAAUCUCCACAUGCUAACACCUCACAAGCAUCAAACAUGACGGAUUGUGGUACAUAACCCUCUGUCACAUUCACCCGUAUUUUGACGGGGUAUCCCAUCUUACUCUUAUCUGGUCAUGCCUUUUCCAAGUUGCCAAUUGACCAAGGCCUUCUCUGAGGCCUACAGUCACUAGAAACAAAAUUAAUAGUUGAUUUUUCCCUGUCAUUAUUUUUAACCCUUAGGUUUCCAAAUAAUUAUCAAUACAAAGAAUAAGAUAUAUGUACUACUAGAACAAAAACCCCUUGGGAGCACUUCGAUUCGCUAUAGGCCAGUCCUUUCUCUCACUCACAAGCCACACUCAUUAGUUACCUGUGAAAAUAAAAGGUUAGUUUACAAUUGUAAGCUUUUAUCCUGCUCAGAGUCCACUAUGAGAUUUUUCUCUUCAAUUUCAACUUCCAACAACUCUUCUGUAGGAACAGCUUCCCAGGUACUAGGGUCGACGGAUGCCUUCACUCGAGCAUAGCGAGUCCAACCUUUUUCCACAGUUCUUACGGCUGUUUCAGUGGUUAGUGGUACUUUGAAUGGUCCUUCCCAUUCAGGCUGGAGU